rnacentral:rRNA from 1 species
CGCAUAGAGUCAAACUGGUGGAUCCGCAGAGUCCGCGCGGGGAAUUCAGCUCGGCAGGCGGGGCCGUGCGCCGGCCGAGAUUCGUCUCGGACCUGGCUGGCGCGCUGCGUACUCGCAGGCAGGGUGCACUUUCCCCGGCUAGCGGAAGGCCACGACCGGUUCGGUGGCGGUCAGGAGCCCGGAGCGGGAGGUAGCCGUGAUCGGUUCACGCCGAUUGCGGAACGUACAGCCCUCCGAGGUGGACUCGCCGCUGGACCGAGGAUGCCGCGGUGGCCUCACGCCGCGGGCCGUCCGGGAGCGUUCGACUUUGGCCACGCUGCUCGCAGCCGGCCGAGACCGCGCUUCUGGUACGGGCUCGCGAACGGGGGCCGCCUAGGGUCAGUGGCGAAUCGGUCGGCAACCCACCAGACCCGUCUUGAAACACGGACCAAGGAGUCUAGCAUGUGCGCGAGUCACGGGGUCUCUCGAAACCCAAGGGCGCAAUGAAAGUGAAGGCCGCCUCCGGCUGGCCCAGGCAAGAUCCCGAGACGUUCGCGUCGAGGGCGCACUGCCGGCCCGUCUCGCUGGCAUCGACCACGAGGCGGAGCAAGAGCGCACACGCUGGGACCCGAAAGAU